rnacentral:rRNA from 1 species
UACAGAGGGUGCGAGCGUUGUCCGGAAUCACUGGGCGUAAAGGGCGCGUAGGUGGCGGCCCAAGUCUGUGGUGAAAGCUCGAUGCUUAACAUCGAGUCGGCCACGGAGACUGGGUGGCUCGAGCACUGUAGGGGCAGAUGGAAUUCCGGGUGUAGCGGUGGAAUGCGUAGAGAUCCGGAAGAACACUGGUGGCGAAGGCGGCCUGCUGGGCAGUAGCUGACGCUGAAGCGCGACAGCGUGGGGAGCAAACAGG